rnacentral:rRNA from 1 species
GACGAACGCUGGCGGCGUGCUUAACACAUGCAAGUCGAACGGAAAGGCCCUGCUUUUGUGGGGUGCUCGAGUGGCGAACGGGUGAGUAACACGUGAGUAACCUGCCCUUGACUUUGGGAUAACUUCAGGAAACUGGGGUUAAUACCGGAUAGGAGCUCCUGCUGCAUGGUGGGGGGUGGAAAGUUUCGGCGGUUGGGGAUGGACUCGCGGCUUAUCAGCUUGUUGGUGGGGUAGUGGCUUACCAAGGCUUUGACGGGUAGCCGGCCUGGGAGGGUGACCGGCCACAUUGGGACUGAGAUACGGCCCAGACUCCUACGGGAGGCAGAAGGGGGGAAUAUUGCACAAUGGGAGGAAGCCUGAUGCAGCAACGCCGCGUGCGGGAUGACGGCCUUCGGGUUGUAAACCGCUUUAGCCUGUGACGAAGCGUGAGUGACGGUAAUGGGUAAAGAAGCACCGGCUAACUACGUG